rnacentral:lncRNA from 1 species
GCGUUAACAGAUAAUGGUAGAAACAGAAGAGUCGAAGCAGAUUUGGUUUUCGGCUUGAUGGNAGGAAAAAAAAUCUACUUCUGUUUUAUGUCCAGCUUNUUUUACGUUUUGCUUUCUGUUUCACAUGAGAAUUGAUAUGAAAGGAAGAAUUUGAUCCUAGUUUGGGUGUACACUCUGAAAUCUUUCUUCUUAUGACAUUUUUCGUAGAGAGUUUUGUUUGCAAGUAAAGGAAUAUUGAAACCUUGAUGUUGGGAGUGUGUUUUCUGUUGUUAUUUAAAUCUGAUGAAAUUUGCAGGCCCUGAAACUACAUCUUGGAUGUAUUUCGAUUAACAGAUGAAAUCCCAAAGAAAGCAAACAAGUAUGUAAAUUGAUCAAGCNUCGUCAUUCAUAUGUUCACAACAUCAUUCAUUCAUACCCAACAUCAUUCAUAUNUGUACAUAUAGCAGAGGAGCAUGNAUUCAUGUAACAAGACGAAGAGCUCAGACGAGGAAACUAACCUUUGCAGCUUUAAAAGAACUCUUCCUCUUGGUUCUAGUUCCCUAUGCUUUCCUCUAUUGAUCUUUGAAUGGCUGAAAAUGUUCUUGCAGUUGGAAGGCUAGUUUGAAGGCAAAUGAUUCACCCUUUCUCUUGAGGUCGUGAGGUGCUNGAGGAGGAUCAUCCUUCCGAGUGUUCUCUUCCUCUCAUGAUAUUAGCCUCUGUUGUCUCCUUGUNUUCUCUGUUUAGUGAAAUGGAGUUGAGAGUUNUCCUUGGGAAGUCGAUAAUGGAGUUUGGAUAAGAAUCCCUGGUACCCAGUAUNUAUUCUGCUAGUUAAGGUCUUUUUUAUUUACUGUNAUGAAGCCUCAUUCAAAAACCAAACCCAAGCCCCUNCGUCCUGGGAAUUCAGGCAUAUCUUCUGACUUGGGAUUUUCUCUUUGUUUUUUUUCUACGUUAGUGUUUAAAUUUGAUCAGAUGGUAAAAGGCAUUGGGAUAUCUUUACUCCUUUGGUGUAUGGCAC